GUCCCAACUUCGGAGGACCUGGGCGCGGAGGGCUGUGGCGUGAAGACCGCUCUAAAACCGAGAUGACUAGAGGUUCCGUUUAACCGAUUCCUGCCGGGGAAGCGUCAGCAGGUGGGGAUCUCGGGGCAGCCUGCAUUCCAGCUCUACCUGGGAUUGUCGCCGUGCACAUGGCUGGAGGAGCGUCUCUCCGCCACUGCGCACAUUUUGCAGCCUGCACCGGCCAACGCAAAGAAUGGCCGAGUGGAUUCUGAGGACCGGAGGAGCCGCCACUGCCCGUACCUGGACACCAUUAACAGGAGUGUGCUGGACUUUGACUUUGAGAAACUGUGUUCUAUCUCCCUCUCACACAUCAAUGCUUAUGCCUGUCUGGUGUGUGGCAAGUACUUUCAAGGCCGGGGUUUGAAGUCUCACGCCUACAUUCACAGUGUCCAGUUUAGCCACCAUGUUUUCCUCAACCUCCACACCCUCAAGUUUUACUGCCUUCCAGACAACUAUGAGAUCAUCGAUUCCUCAUUGGAGGAUAU
rnacentral:lncRNA from 1 species